ACUCAAAGGAAUUGACGGGGGCCCGCACAAGCAGCGGAGCAUGUGGUUUAAUUGGACGCAACGCCAAGAACCUUACCUGGGCUUGACAUGUUCCUGACCCCCCUGGAAACAGGGGUUCCCUUCGGGGCAGGAUCACAGGUGGUGCAUGGCUGUCGUCAGCUCGUGUCGUGAGAUGUUGGGUUAAGUCCCGCAACGAGCGCAACCCUCGUCGUAUGUUGCCAGCAUUUAGUUGGGGACUCAUACGAGACUGCCGGUGACAAACCGGAGGAAGGCGGGGAUGACGUCAAGUCAUCAUGCCCCUUAUGUCCAGGGCUACACACGUGCUACAUUGGCGCAUACAGAGGGCUGCGAUACCGCGAGGUGGAGCGAAUCCCUUAAAGUGCGUCUCGGUUCGGAUUGGAGGCUGAAACCCGCCUCCAUGAAGGUGGAGUUGCUAGUAAUCGCGGAUCAGCAUUGCCGCGGUGAAUACGUUCCCGGGCCUUGUACACACCGCCCGU
rnacentral:rRNA from 1 species